GGGUCAGUAGGUUGGUCGUGCCACCGGUACGUACUGGCCUCACUGAUUCCUCCUUCCUGUAGAACCGUAAUGCCAUUAAUUUGGUGUUGCGGGGAAACAGGACUGUUACUUUGAAAAAAUUAGAGUGUUUAAAGCAAGCUAACGCUUGAAUACAUUAGCAUGGAAUAAUGAAAUAGGACGAUCGAUCCUAUUUUGUUGGUUUCUAGGAUUGACGUA
rnacentral:rRNA from 1 species